rnacentral:rRNA from 1 species
UACCAGCACCCCGAGUGGUCGGGACGUUUAUUGGGCCUAAAGCAUCCGUAGCCGGUUCUACAAGUCUUCCGUUAAAUCCACCUGCUUAACAGAUGGGCUGCGGAAGAUACUAUAGAGCUAGGAGGCGGGAGAGGCAAUCGGUACUCGAUGGGUAGGGGUAAAAUCCGUUGAUCCAUUGAAGACCACCAGUGGCGAAGGCGGCUUGCCAGAACGCGCUCGACGGUGAGGGAUGAAAGCUGGGGGAGCAAACCGG